UACGUAGGGUGCAAGCGUUGUCCGGAAUUAUUGGGCGUAAAGAGCUCGUAGGCGGUUUGUCGCGUCGACUGUGAAAACCCGAGGCUUAACCUCGGGCCUGCAGUCGAUACGGGCAGACUAGAGUUCGGUAGGGGAGACUGGAAUUCCUGGUGUAGCGGUGAAAUGCGUAGAUAUCGGGAAGAACACCAGUGGCGAAGGCGCUCUACUGGGCCACAACUGACGCUGAGGGACGAAACCUAGGGGAGCGAAAGGG
rnacentral:rRNA from 1 species